GGAAGAGCUGUGGGUCUGGCCAGAGCUGUGAGCGAAACCGCGGCGGAAAAAGGGGCUGUUGGCAGAAGUGCUGCCUGCCCCAGGAGCACCCACGGCAGGAGGCAGCGCUGGUAAUUCCAUCGCUGCGCCCGGGGACUUGGAUGGGGUUGAUGAGAAUACAGGUUCCCAGUUUAAGUUCCAAGAGAAAAGGAGCGGCUUCCUAAGGACUGUUGGAGGCUGGGAUGUUGACUGAGCUUCCGGAACUGGGAGUCAAAACCCCACAGAAGGGCACGGUUAAAAUGCAGAGCUGUAUGCAGAGCUGAACGCAAAGAGGCUUGUUGCUCUCCUAUCCCUAACCUCAGAAAGUGAAGAGGUAAAGAGGUCCAGAGAAAGGACAAUGAGAGAGAAAAGCAGAAUAGAG